CGGGCAGGCUCCUUAUCGUGGAUGCAGGAGAGGGACCACCAGAAAGGCCCCACCAAAAAAAAGCACAUCUGGGCAGAGAAUGUCGGAACAGAAGAGCUAUGUUGUCCCUUGCACCUUGAAGUGAUGAGCAUUCGCAGAUCUCCUGACCUCAGCCUGGGGCUGCUGACGGUUCAGGUCCAUUUCAGAGAGAGAGAGAGCAACAUGCACGGGAUGAACCUCAAAAGAGAAAUUCUCUGUGAGUCUGAGGUUUUCCUCUGCUACUCCUCAGCCUCUCGUGCUUUCUGUUUGUUCAUCUCUCUCCUCUCUUGUAGCUGAGACAGGCUGUCUAGACAUUGCAGAUGUGGACAGAUGUUGGGUCUGUAAUUUAUAACAACGGCCUCCAGAAGGCAAUUCCAAUUUGUUUCGGUAAGGCUUUGAGUUACAGGCAGAAAAAAUAUCCUGUAAAUACCGUUGACUUACAUGGUAACUACACCAAGGGUUUACUUAGUGAACAAUCACUAACUAUAGCAUAAUUACAUAUCCCUGCAGAUUACUGGAGAAUUUAGUGUCACUGAGCAGGCAAUGACCACCAAAUCGAAGUCCUGGCUCUGGGAAGGGCUGGAAAAUAAGGGCAUUGACCCACACUUAGUAGGAAUUUAUUUCUAUUUCUUCAAAUUAUCAAUUAUCUUCUACCCUGUGGAUCCUUUCAGCCUUAUCUAUGUCAUAGAUAACCCCUGACUAUCAUACCAAACUCCAGGCAAGUGCAUGCUGGUUGUAGUUUUCGACUGAUCCAGGUUUAGACCACACAGUAUCUGGGGGUACUCACAAAACCCUCAGACAAGCAUGAGGCUAGUGAUUAACUUCCUGAUUAUUGUAAUGGGCUCCACAGUCAGCAGCAGGGCUGAAGGGCAAUGAGCCAUCUUCACUUUGUCCUGGUGACCGAUGGUUCAACAGCUGUCCAGGCCGACAAUGAAGCUGACUGGACCACCCACAUUGUGAAGUCUAUUCUGGUCCUUCUGGCUGGAAAUGGAAAAGGCACGGUUUUAGAAUAAUUUCUCAAGAAUUUCAGGUUGCUUCUUACUCCCAUCUGGGGCGGUAUGAGUGUGUUGGGGGAGGUGGGCAGGCUGUAAGACUUAUCAUAUGCAAAGAAGUUAAGUGGCCUAUCCUUGAUCUCAGUGCAGGCAUCAGAAGUCACGUAUGCACCAGAGGGUCUGUCAUCCUUGAGAAUUCUGACCAGCUGGCCCCUUUGGGAUUAGGGGAUCAGAACUGGCUGGCAGCUGGGAGCUCUGGCUUCUCUGGAUGUAUAGGGUUGCAGCUGAAAUAGUCAUCAAGGUUGUCUGGCUGGGUGUCGGGGAAGGAAGGUGGGAAUAAGGGGAGGGUAGAGAGAUGUGGACAUCAAAUAAACACAUUGGCAGUGUUGUACAUCAAUUCUUACUCCAUUGCCAACCUCUUCCAGUUGACUUGUUUCAUAUAAUCUUCCCUUCCCCCCUCACCUGCCCAGAGACAAUCAAAUAAAACUUAAGCUUAAUACGUUUCUAGUCACCGACCCCUCAGUUUCUACAGGCCCUGAAACAGAUGCCUCCUGCCUCUUUAAGAACAGAUACUGCCUAAAGAAUCCUGAUUCUUUGUGACCGUUGUCUGAAUUCUCUCUUUCUUCCUGGUUCCUGCUUAUGGUAUGUUUGGUAGCCACCCAACUAGAGUGAUAUCUUACCCUCACUUAAAGAAGUGGUCUACUUUCCUAUGCUAGUAGAGCUUCAGCACCAAGUGCCAGUCAGGAAGGCUACUGGAGUCCAAGGAAGAGAGGUAAGAUUAUAAUGUAAGGUCCACUGCCCUGGCAAGCACUGGCCACAGGAUCGACCUCCAUCCUGCCUAGGAGAAAAGAUGUUAGCUUCAAAGGAUGGAUUUAGGAAGCAAUUUGUGCCUUCCAAGUUUAAAGUUUUCUGCCUGCACUGCGUGGUGAAUUUAAAGCCACUUUGGGAGACAGUGAAACUAUGUCUCAAAUGAACUAACAAACAGGAAAGUUCUGUACGUGUGGAUGUAUUGCUGUCAGUAAGGUCAGUAAAGUGCUUUCUUAUUACCCUGCAGGUACGAAGAGUUCCAUCCUCAACACUGCAUAAGCAAGAUGUAUUGGCACAUGCCUAUAACCUCAGCACUGAGGAGGUGGGAACAGGAAGAAGUUCAAGGUUAUCCUCAGUUACAUAACAAGUGUAAAGCCAGCCUACCAUCUAGGAGAUACUAAAAAUAGAAUACUAUUUAAAAAAAUUAGUAUUUGAGGAUUGGAAAGAUGGCUCAGCGGUUAAGAGCACUGACUGUGCUUCCAAAGGUCCUGAGUUCAACUUCCAGCAACCAGAUGACCACUCACAAUCAUCUUUAAUGGUAUCUGAUGCCUUCUUCUGGUAUGUCAGAAGACGGCAACAGUGUAGUCAUAUAUAUAAAAUAGUAAAUAAAUAUUUUUUAAAAAUA
ensembl:lincRNA